rnacentral:rRNA from 1 species
GACGAACGCUGGCGGCGUGCUUAACACAUGCGAGUCGAGCGGAAAGGCCCUGCUUUUGUGGGGUGCUCGAGUGGCGAACGGGUGAGUAACACGUGAGUAACCUGCCCUUGUCUUUGGGAUAACUUCAGGAAACUGGGGCUCAUACCGGAUAGGAGCUCCUGCUGCAUGGUGGGGGUUGGAAAGUUUCGGCGGUUGGGGAUGGACUCGCGGCUUAUCAGCUUGUUGGUGGGGUAGUGGCUUACCAAGGCUUUGACGGGUAGCCGGCCUGGGAGGCGGACCGGCCACAUUGGGACUGAGAUACGGCCCAGACUCCUACGGGAGGCAGCAGUGGGGAAUAUUGCACAAUGGGCGGAAGCCUGAUGCAGCAACGCCGCGUGCGGAAUGACGGCCUUCGGGUGUUAAACCGCUUUCGCCGGUGACGAAGCGUGAGUGACGGUAAUGGGUAAAGAAGCACCGGCUAACUACGUG